GACGAACGCUGGCGGCGUGCUUAACACAUGCAAGUCGAACGAAGUGGCGAACGGGUGAGUAACGCGUAAUCAACCUGCCCUUCAGAGGGGGACAACAGUUGGAAACGACUGCUAAUACCGCAUACUGAAGGAGGGGAUUGCGUCUGAUUAGCUAGUUGGGGGGGUAACGGCCCACCAAGGGAGUGAUCAGGAGCCGGUCAGGGAGGAUGAACAGCCACAUUGGGACUGGGACCAGGCCCAGAAUCCUAAGGGAGGAAGCAGUGGGGAAUCUUCCGCCAAGGACGAAAGUCUGACGGAGCAACGCCGCGGGAGUGGUGACGGGCCUCGGGUUUUAAAACUAUGUUAAUCGGGACGCGGUACCGGAAUAGAAAGCCACGGCUAACUACGUGCCAGCCGCCGCGGUAAUAC
rnacentral:rRNA from 1 species